rnacentral:lncRNA from 1 species
AAUUGGUCACCUCGUUAGCAGCCCAUCUGCAGCAAGUGAGUGGUGCUGGGGUGCUGGGGAGGACCGUCCUGGCCAGCAGGGGCCUCACAGUCUAGUAAUAAGGACACAGCAAUUACAGGAACUUCUAGAGCCAGUUCUCUUCAGGAGCAUGCCAGGCUGAAGCUUUGUCCUAUGGAGAAGCAGAAAAGGUCAGAGGAGGAGAAAGAAAGAGCCCUUCCCGGUCAAGGAGCCAGCCAGGGAGGGAGACAAAAGGAAGGAGGCUCCAUGGAGAUGCAAUGUGAUUAGCUGGCCUUCUGCUCUGACCACCGUGACUUCCCUGCCUGAAACCAUGUCUUCCCCUCCAUGAUACAAGUCACAAGAUGAAAUAAAUCCUUCCUUCCCUAAAAUGGGUAUUUUUGUCUCAUCAACAAGAAAGUUAACUUAUGUAAAGCUGGCUCUAGGGAAGUCAUUAGGAUUUGAUGAGGUCAUGAGACUAAGGUCCUGGUGAUGGUAGUAGUGGCUUUUGUAGAAGGAAAGGAGGAGGAGAAGGAGAAGGAAGAAGAGGAGGAGGAGGAGGAAAAGGAAGAGGAAAAGGAAGAGGAGGAGGAAGAGGAGGAGGAGGAGGAAAAGGAAGAGGAGGAGGAAGAGGAGGAGGAAGAGGAGGAGGAUCCAUGCUGUCUCACCACAUUGCCCCCUGGUUAUACUAUGAUGUUUCAGAUGAGUCUUCAUCAGAUGCCAGGCAGAGCUGGCACCAUGCUUGGGCUUUCAGCCUCCAGAAAAAUAGCAAAAGAAAUUUCUAUUCUGUUCUCUUUUCCAGAAAAACAAGCAACAACAAUAAAACCCCACAUUUGUUCUAAAGCAAUGAUAGAUAAAGAGAAACCUCUUCUUUUCAUAAUGACAACAGAUAAACACAGAAAGAAUAUGGAGUUCUUUUAAAAAAUAAAAUCACAAAUUUGCCAACAUUCUAAUAAAAGUUAUUAAGAUACAGGAUCAUCAAAUGAUACUAAAUCUAGGAAGGGCAGGUGUGAGGAGCUACAGAAUUGUCAAGACAAUAUCAGCAUUUCUUAUAAAACAGUAACUGGGAGAAAUAGUAACUAGACAAUGCAGAAAAUAGACAACCUCUUUUCUGUGUGAUGGAAAUUAACACCAAUAACAAGGACUAUUCUGCUCAUCUGAGCUUGGUACCCAGGGUUGCAUCACUUAAUAGUAUUCUCACCCACACCACACAAUCCAAAUCUACCCACGAGGAAACAUCAGGAAACUCCAGUGAAGCUGAUCGUCUUCAAAGACAUCAAUACAACAAAAGACUGGAAAGGGCAGAGGAAUGGCUCCAGAUCAGCAUCAUGACAGCACAAUCUACAAUCCCAGACUGGAUCCCGCCUCUGAGAAAUUACCAGCAGAGCAAAUGAAAUCGGAAUAGAGACUGCAGAUCAGAUGAAAGUCCCGUCUGAAUGGGAGACUGCAGGAUUUAUAUGCUUCAGUGAGACUGUGUGCUUGCUCUUGUGAAGUGCGUGUAUAGUAUUAAAGUGUGGAGGGCUGGGUAUCUGUACUAUCUCUCAAAUGAGUUAUAUAGAAAGGUUAUAUAUCAAGGAAUAGAAAGUUAUAAAGCAAACACAGGAAUCAUCAUCAAAAAAAAAAGAAGAUAACAUGUGUAGCAAUGAAUGUUUUCUUUUCUUUAAUUUUCUCCCAAACAAGCAUAUCCACACUGACAUGUAAGUGUGUAUUUCUGGAGUACAAAAACUUUCAGUACUACCCAAAUCCUCCAUGUAAGGCAAGCAGUGAAAAUAUUCCUUAGGGGUUGGUUGUCAACAUGUGUAUAAAGGGCUAUGUCUUUCCCAGGAAGCAUAGUACUACAGCUUCCAUAUAUUUUUUUAUAUGUAUGCACAAACUUCUGCACUCACGUGUAAUUGUUUCCUUUUGAUGGUGAUAGUCUCUAAGUUUUUGUCAUUUCCAUGUUUGCUUUGCUAAAGCUUGUGCUUGGCUUCAAUGCGGAGAUCAUAUUUUCUCUUCAUACCUUCUCUCUGGAGCAGUGUCUGAAAUGUGUGUUCUCAGCUAGCAGACUCAGUUUGUGAGUCAUAGCAUUAACAUAAUGUGAUGGUUGUUUCCUGCAGUGCAGUACCAAUGAAGACCUGCAUAGGAGGGCCUGAGUCUGCUCAUUGGACCAACUUGUGAGAGGAAAGUAUUCAGGUAUGUCUGUAAAAUGAGAGGCAUACAGGUUUAAGUCCUAGGUUGACCUAAAGUUAAUCAACCCAACUUUUAAUGGGUCUGUGAUACUCUGAUUGGGUUCAAUUGUAAAUUCCUCAUUAAACUUCUAUUCCUUAUAAGUCAUGCAGGCUCCAGAAUUUUGUUACAGUUUUUAAAAACCAGCCCUCCCAAAACAAGCAAAUAAACAAUAACAAAACACAUGAAGAGACAG